rnacentral:rRNA from 1 species
GCAGACCAUAGUGGGUGAUAGUCCUGUACACGAAAUCAUAUAGAAAAGGUUUAUCGUUCCUGAGUAGGGCGGGGCACGUGAAACCCUGUUUGAAUCUGGGUAGACCACUAUCCAAGGCAAAAUACUAACCAGUGACCAAUAGUGUAGAGUACCGUGAGGGAAAGGUGAAAAGUCUCCCGUUGAGGGUUAUUAAAUAGAACCUGAAACCUUAAGCUUACAAGUAGUCAGAGGGUACCCUGCUAGCAAUAGUAGAUGGCCUGAUGGCGUGCCUUUUGUAGAAUGAGCCUGCGACUUAUAGUAUGUAGCAAGAUUAAGAGGUAAUAGCCUUGUAGUCGUAGUGAAAGCGAGCCUUAAUAGGGCGAAAUUAGUUGCAUGCUAUACGACCCGAAGCCAAGUGAUCUACCUAUGAGCAGCGCGAAACUCGAGUAACAUCGAAUGGAGGUGCGAACCAGUGGCCGUGAAAAGGCUUUGGAUGACUUGUGGGUAGGAGUGAAAGGCUAAUCAAACUUGGAGAUAGCUGGUUCUCUCCGAAAUGUCUUUAGGGGCAGCGUUAUGUGUUUACUUGCGGGGGUAGAGCACUAAAUGGACUAGGGCUCCUAACCGAGUACCAAACCCAACUAAACUCCGAAUACCGUAAGUUAAGAGCAUGGCAGUUAGACAGCGGCGGAUAAGCGUCAUUGUCAAAAGGGAAACAGCCCAGAUCCUCAGCUAAGGUCCCAAAAUCUAUGUUAAGUGGGAAAGGAUGUGAGAAUACUUAAACAGCCAGGAGGUUGGCUUAGAAGCAGCCAUUCCUUUAAAGAGUGCGUAACAGCUCACUGGUCGAGUGUUCUUGCGCCGAAAAUGUAACGGGGCUCAAACAUAGUACCGAAGCUAGGGAAUUAUAGAGUUAAUCUAUAAUUGGUAGGAGAGCGUUCUUUAAGCCGUUGAAGGUUCAUCGUAAGGUGGGCUGGAGGUAUAAGAAGUGAGGAUGCAGGCAUGAGUAACGAGAAAACGGGUGAGAAACCCGUUCGCCGCAAACCCAAGGUUUCCUAGGUAAAGCUAAUCUGCCUAGGGUUAGUCGACCCCUAAGAUGAGGCUGAAAAGCGUAGUCGAUGGGAAACAGGUAAAUAUUCCUGUA